rnacentral:rRNA from 1 species
UACAGAGGGUGCGAGCGUUAAUCGGAAUUACUGGGCGUAAAGCGUGCGUAGACGGUAGCGUAAGUCAGAUGUGAAAGCCCCGGGCUCAACCUGGGAACUGCAUUUGAGACUGCUCUGCUCGGGUGCGGAAGAGGGAAGCGGAAUUUCCGGUGUAGCGGUGAAAUGCGUAGAUAUCGGGAGGAACACCUGUGGCGAAAGCGGCUCACUGGACCGCAACUAGACGCUGAUGCGCGAA